GUUAGUUCCAUUGUACCGAAAAAGUACUCUUUUCACAAUUUCUUUAUACUACCAUGGCCUUGAACCGGGUUUGUGUGACAAGGUUUUGGCAGAGCGGGGCUACAGGGACGGCUCUUGUGACAGGCGGCCAGAAGCUUCCCACAUGUCCAAAGGAGCAAUGCCAUAAUCCUGUUUACAGAAGUAAAUGUGAGACUGCAGCUGGAAAAAGCAAGGAGUCUGGCAGCAGGAUUUGCCGAAAAAAAAAUAUUUCCUGUAGCUCAGAAUGAGUAAACAUGAGUAGCAUAUAUUAAAGCAGUGGUCUAAAUCAGUCAUGAAAAUAAAUCAAAUCAGUGAACAGAAAACUUUGAUUUAAAUGAUUGUUUAUAAUCCUGAAUUAUAGUUGUAUUGUUUCUCAAAGACUGAUUUUUCACUGAUUGGUAACCACUAAAAUGUGCUGACUAUAAUCUUUAUUCAUAACCUAGCAUUUCUUUUUGCUAACAAAGAGAGCAUGUUAUAGCAGCAUACAUCUAAGACAUUUCAGACUUUAACAUAACAUUUAUAUCAAUUCUUAAUUUUUAUACACAUUUCACUAUUUUGGAAGAUGAGGUCUGUUUCGUUUCUUUUUUUGCUAAGUAAUUCUUGCACCUCUAUUUGUGAUUCACAUGAGACUCCUAGUGGAAAAAUAUAGGAAUUGAAAGAAAACAAUGAGGGAAAAAAAUCUCUUUGUAGUUGCUUUUAGUUAAAUAAGAUUAUCAUAAAUGUAUUUGUACCUUAUUCUUAAGAAGGUUGUCUAAGUAUGCUUUGCACUGAGAAAGAUUAUGUUUAAACUUGUAGGAAUAUAGUUUAAUUGAUUUGAACACUCAGUCUUUCAAAUGUGUAGAACUAGUAGAGAUCAUCUUGUCAUCUCCAGCUCUUAUUUUAUUUAUGGAUGAAAAUAAUGAAAAAAAAAUUCAGCUGGGAUAAUUCAUUUAAGUGAGCUGGCUAAAUAAACAGAAAUGAAGGAAAUACUGCCACCUUGCUUGCAGAAAAAGAUACUUGCCAAAAAAUGGUUCCACACUUCAGCAAACCGAGAUUAAUCCUUCAGCAGCUUGAACAGAAAAGACCUAGAGAAGUCACCAGGGAGGAACGAUUUUUUUUCCUUACAUUUAAAAUCAAGCACGAAGUCAGGAUCUUCUAGAAACCAGCUCUAGCCUUCUGGUGCCUGAGCUGUUCUCAGCCC